rnacentral:rRNA from 1 species
CCUACGGGGGGCAGCAGUGGGGAAUAUUGGACAAUGGGGCAACCCUGAUCCAGCCAUGCCGCGUGUGUGAAGAAGGCCCUCGGGUUGUAAAGCACUUUCAGUGAGGAAGAACGCCUGGUGGUUAAUACCCAUCAGGAAAGACAUCACUCACAGAAGGAGCACCGGCUAACUCCGUGCCAGCAGCCGCGGUAAUACGGAGGGUGCGAGCGUUAAUCGGAAUUACUGGGCGUAAAGCGCGCGUAGGUGGCUUGAUAAGCCGGUUGUGAAAGCCCCGGGCUCAACCUGGGAACGGCAUCCGGAACUGUCAAGCUAGAGUGCAGGAGAGGAAGGUAGAAUUCCCGGUGUAGCGGUGAAAUGCGUAGAGAUCGGGAGGAAUACCAGUGGCGAAGGCGGCCUUCUGGACUGACACUGACACUGAGGUGCGAAAGCGUGGGUAGCAAACAGGAUUAGAUACCCUAGUAGUC